UAAACCCGCGUAGCUCAUCAGGGAGCGAAAUCCCCAUGGCUCAUCUGGCAAGUCAGGAAAACUGGAGUUUGCGGUGAAGGAUCGGGUCGGGGGUCGGGGGAGAAGGAAGGAGGAGGAUAAAUUUGUCUUCCUCACCAGUCAAGCUGGGAAUUUGCGCUGCAGUAACAGCACGAGGAGCUUUAACAAAUACGAAAAGUGGAUAAAGCACCCAAACGAGUGGUGUAUCCAAAGAUAGAAAAAGAUCAUCUAUUUUGAUAGUGAAAACAAAACAGAAUUGCCAUAUUUUCCUCUAAAUUGGCUUUUCAUCUUUAAAUGUGAAAACACCAACACCAGAGAGAGAGGGAGAGAAGGCAGUGUUUAAAACACCACGAACAGAUAGAUACCUCCAAGUGCGCUGCUGUGUUUGCACAGCCACCCUGGGUGACACUGGACUCUCCUGGUGAAUGGGUUCCGGGUUCAAAGCACGUAACCGAUUGCUACUCCUGAACUGCUAAAUGUAACCUAUGGGGAAAUUUUGUCUGCGGCAGAAAGGCCGGACAUCGUGAGUGAGUCUGAACGCCCCGCAGGUCCCUCGCGAGGACUUCAUUGCCCACAGCCACUUCAGAACGACCGCGUGGGGACAUUAAAGAUGCAGUUUGUGAAGAACAGCAGGGCAUCACAUGCAAAGCCUCGAAAUAGUCAGCCAGUCAAAUCAGUGGAAAAAAUCAGCUUUUGUUAGAUUUUGCAGUUUCAGGAAUUAGGCAUUCACUGCAGAGCUGCAGUUUUGAGAAAUUGCAGUGUCAGGCGUGUUCCCAAUGGGGAAAUAUUGUGAGAGUGUGGAGGAAUGUAAGAUUGGGUUUGACAAUGGGGGGACUGACAAGAGUUAUCACCCAGACAUUGUUCUCUCUCGCGCACCCCGGAAACGCUAAGUAGAGACGGUAUCUAGUGGCAGCAAUAGUCCUCCACGCUCACAGACGUGGGGAUGAGAGUCUUAGCCUCGAAAAGCCUGGCCUCGGGUUUCACAGGAGGAAAACUGGAACGCGUAGGGCACAGAACCUCAUAGGUACAGAACACCUAUAAACAGUAUAGUAGCAGGGUAGGGUCGGCCUGAAGACAUUCCAAGCAGAAGCCAACUUCUCCUUUUUCUUUCUAAGCAACAGAACAGGAGGAAAUCCAGGGAGAAACGACACCUGUGCUCAAAGAAAAGGAAGAAUCAUGGUGAGAUACCUCAAUAUAUACUACCCGCAGAUAGGAAUCCAGCUCAGAGACGUUGGUAAAGGGGCUGCAACGCCCCCGAGGAGGUGGUCCGGGUGUACGACUCCAGAAGACGAGCACGCAAAGCCAUCCCUCUGCUGCCUUAUCGGGAGGCUCGGUCGCAGCAAGGGGACUAUUUCUCGUCCAGAGCAGCAGUCAGGCACUCAGAUGCACCCACAAAAUCAAGGUGCCGCGGCAGGAGAGAACCCUACAGGCCUGCGGUGAUGAUUCCUGGCAGGAACGGAAAUCCAGAUCAAAUCUUCAAAACGUUUGCGCUUGCAGACAAGAAAGGCUAAGUCCUUGUGCGAAGAAUUCAUCAGCUAAAGAGACUCGCAGCCGUUGUGAAGAGUGUUUACUGUGAUGUGCCUGUACUUCGCUUUCUCCAGGUGUUGUCUGUUAGGGCCUCAGGCAGGACGGGGAGAAAGAAAGGAUCCCACAUUUCAGAAGACCCGCUUCCAGGCUUGGAGUCCAGAGUCAAAACUGGACAACGUUCGUACAAGGAAUGUGUCCGAGUGUUUCCCGUGUGCCAGGCCCUGUUCUAACACGGAGCCCCCGAGUAACAACACAAAGAAAGGGGCCCGCCCCGACCAGCUGACAGUUACGAUGCUGGGAAGUCCGACGCUGAGGAGGACGGGUUUGCCUUCUGCAACCCGGCCCAUCUAUUGGCUGACAAGGAUUUCCUUUUUUGGAGGGAGCCAGACUGGAACCUCGUUCCCUCACUUGAGAGGGAGAGAGGGACCAAGGCCUGCGAGCAGGCUCGGGGAGGCCCUAGUCUGAGGAGCUACACUCCCUGUAGGACCAGUGGCUCGGAGUACGCCUGUCAUGCUAGAACGGCAGCCUCGAACACAGCAGCUCCACGCUGCCCGCGCCUCGCAUCCUAGUAUCUGUCCAGAAACGAGCAAAUACA